rnacentral:rRNA from 1 species
UACAGAGGUCUCAAGCGUUGUUCGGAAUUACUGGGCGUAAAGGGUGCGCAGGCCGCGCGGGCAGUCAAAUGUGUAAUUCAGGGGCUCAACCCCUGCACUGCGCUUGAUACUUCCGCGCUCGAGCUUUGGAAAGGAGUCUGGAAUUCUCGGUGUAGCAGUGAAAUGCGUGGAUAUCGAGAAGAACACUUAGGGCGAAGGCAAGACUCUGGACAAAUGCUGACGCUCAUGCACGAAGGCUAGGGUAGCGAACGGG